GUCCAGACUCCUACGGGAGGCAGCAGUGAGGAAUAUUGGUCAAUGGGCGAGAGCCUGAACCAGCCAAGUCGCGUGAGGGAGUACUGCCCUAUGGGUUGUAAACCUCUUUUGUCGGGGAGCAAAAGCCGGACGUGUCCGGCUGUGAGAGUACCCGAAGAAAAAGCAUCGGCUAACUCCGUGCCAGCAGCCGCGGUAAUACGGAGGAUGCGAGCGUUAUCCGGAUUUAUUGGGUUUAAAGGGUGCGCAGGCGGAUUUUUAAGUCAGCGGUCAAAUCGUGGGGCUCAACCCCAUCCAGCCGUUGAAACUGUGUCCCUUGAGUGCGCGAAGGGUAGGCGGAAUGCGUGGUGUAGCGGUGAAAUGCAUAGAUAUCACGCAGAACUCCGAUCGCGAAGGCAGCCUACCGGCGCGCAGCUGACGCUCAUGCACGAAAGCGUGGGUAUCGAACAGGAUUAGAUACCCCAGUAC
rnacentral:rRNA from 1 species